CAGUAGCCACGGUAAUACGGAGGGUGCAAGCGUUAUCCGGAUUUAUUGGGUUUAAAGGGUCCGUAGGCGGAUCUGUAAGUCAGUGGUUAAAUCUCACAGCUUAACUGUGAAACUGCCAUUGAUACUGCAGGUCUUGAGUAAAUUUGAAGUGGCUGGAAUAAGUAGUGUAGCGGUGAAAUGCAUAGAUAUUACUUAGAACACCAAUUGCGAAGGCAGGUCACUAAGAUUUAACUGACGCUGAUGGACGAAAGCGUGGGGAGCGAACAGGAUUAGAGACCCCAGUAGUCCCUGUCUCUUAUAA
rnacentral:rRNA from 1 species